rnacentral:tRNA from 2 species
GCCCCUAUGGCUCAGUGGUAGAGCGUCUGCUUCGUAAGCUGAAGGUCUGCAGUUCGAUCCUGCAUGGGGGCA